rnacentral:rRNA from 1 species
UACGUAGGGUGCGAACGUUGUUCGGAAUCACUGGGCAUAAAGGGCGCGUAGGCGGUCCAUUAAGUCGGAUGUGAAAUACUUCGGCCCAACCGGAGAACUGCAUUUGAUACUGAUGGGCUAGAGUGCAGGAGGGGAGAGUGGAAUUCCUGGUGGAGCGGUGAAAUGCGUAGAUAUCAGGAGGAACGCCGGUGGCGAAAGCGACUCUCUGGCCUGCAUCUGACGCUGAGUGCGCGAAAGCUAGGGGAGCAAACGGGAUUAGAUACCCCGGUAGUCCUAGCCCUAAACUAUGGGUACUAAGUAGGGGAGGUUCCGAACCUUCCCUGCCGGAGCUAAUGUAUUAAGUACCCCGCCUGGGGAGUAUGGUCGCAAGGCUAAA